UACGGAGGGUGCGAGCGUUAAUCGGAAUUACUGGGCGUAAAGCGCACGUAGGCUGUAUAUCAAGUCAAGGGUGAAAUCCCCGGGCUCAACCUGGGAACUGCCUUUGAAACUGGUAAACUAGAGUAUGUGAGAGGGUGGCGGAAUUCCUGGUGUAGGAGUGAAAUCCGUAGAUAUCAGGAGGAACAUCAGUGGCGAAGGCGGCCACCUGGCACAAAACUGACGCUGAGGUGCGAAAGCGUGGGUAGCAA
rnacentral:rRNA from 1 species